CUACACCAACUCAAACAGCCUCGCGUCCUCCUCAAGCUCGACAUCGCUCGAGCUUUCGAUUCGGUCUCCUGGCCCUUUCUUCUCCAGGUCCUCCAACACUUAGGCUUUGGCCCACGUUGGUGUGAGUGGGUUACCAUCCUCAUAUCUACAGCUUCUACGCGAGUCUUGAUCAACGGCACCCCAUGCCCGCCUAUUGCCCAUUGCAAAGGCCUUCGGCAAGGAGAUCCCGUUUCCCCGAUGCUUUUCGCCUUGGUGAUUGAUGCCCUGAACUCCCUCCUUCAGCAUGUCGUGGCAUCCGGCGUCCUCAAACAGCUCACUCAUUGA
rnacentral:rRNA from 1 species